rnacentral:rRNA from 1 species
AACGAACGCUGGCGGCAUGCUUAACACAUGCAAGUCGAACGAGACCUUCGGGUCUAGUGGCGCACGGGUGCGUAACGCGUGGGAAUCUGCCCUUUGCUACAGAAUAACUCAGAGAAAUUGGUGCUAAUACCGUAUAAGUUCGUAAGACCAAAGAGUUAUCGGCAAGGGGUGAGCCUGCGUAAGAUUGGCUUGUUGGUGGGGGAAAGGCCUACCAAGGCGACGAUCUUGAGCUGGUCUGAGAGGAUUAUCAGCCACACUGGGACUGAGACACGGCCAAGACACCUACGGGAGGCAGCAGUGGGGAAUAUUGGACAAUGGGCGAAAGCCUGAUCCAGCAAUGCCGCGUGAGUGAUGAAGGCCUUAGGGUUGUAAAGCUCUUUUACCAGGGAUGAUAAUGACAGUACCUGGAGAAUAAGCUCCGGCUAACUCCGUGCCAGCCGCCGCGGUAA